CCAGCUACUUCUCGCUCCCAGAAGCCUCCCGUUUGGUCCCUUCGAAAAUUUUGUUGCUUUGGAGCUCAGUAAAACUCGACAACGUUGCUGCAUCAACUCAACUGAGUCAAGAGUUGAAUGCAGCAUGCAUCGAUUUAGAAGCAAAGGGACCUUACCCUUUGGUUCCUUGGCAAUUCCCCAUUUGAAGAAGAAGGCUCUUAAUUCGUGGUCUGCUGUUCAGGACACCUAUUUCACUACCAAGGACUUAUUUGAGAGGCAUAGGGUGGUGUUUACAGUCGGAACUUCUUUAGCAUCAGUUGCUACAGCAUGGGUUGGAUAUUCCUUACGUCAUCUUCGUGAUUCAAAAGUUGAUCAAAGACUUGAAUCAAUUGAAAAUGCUAUGAAAAGCAAUUAUCAUCUUGAACAUGCUGAAUUUAAAAAGCUUGUGGAUCCUGGGAGUUCCAGUGUUGCUGCCUGUAUUGCUACUGCUGGGACAACAUUUGUUGUUGGGUAUGGCUUUGGUUGGCGAGGCGGAAGAUGGUAUGCAAAUAGGAAGUACAGAAAGGAACAGAUGAAAUUACUAGGGCAGAUAAAGCCUAAAAGGUGGCAGUUGUUGGCACGCAUGAGACCUAAGGAGUGGCAAUUCCAGUUUAUUAAAAGAGGAUUUCCUAGAUACAGAGCCUCCGAAUGUGAAGGUAAAGCAUCUGAAAAGAUGCUGAAGGAUGCUCCUACAACAAAUAAUCCUGGAGAAUUCCAUCGGUCUUGUUAGAACAACAUCAGUCCCUGCAUUUUUUUUUUUUUUUUUUUUUGCGUAGAUAUCCUNNNNNUAUAGGAAAAGAGAUUAUAUAUGUAGUUUCAAACUUAUUGAAGAAUGUCUUCUAAACUGGCAGUUUGGAUGUGAUGCAUUAUGUCAUCAUCUUUUUCUCUUUGUCCUGCUUUUAGUGGGAUAUGUCAGAUGUCCUUGUCCUCUUCAUACAAUUUUAUUCUGAGAAUCUGAGUAUUUGAGAUAAAAUUGUAUGAAGAGGAAAACGACAUCUGACAUAUCCCACUAAAAGCAGGACAAAGAGAAAAAGAUGAUGACAUAAUGCAUCACAUCCAAACUGCCAGUUUAGAAGACAUUCUUCAAUAAGUUUGAAACUACAUAUAUAAUCUCUUUUCCUAUAAUCUCAGGAUAUCUACGCAAAAAAAAAA
rnacentral:misc_RNA from 1 species